rnacentral:rRNA from 1 species
AGAGUUUGAUCCUGGCUCAGGAUGAACGCUGGCGGUAUGCUUAACACAUGCAAGUCGAACGGUCUCUUAGGAGAUAGUGGCGGACGUGUGAGUAACGCGUGAGAAUCUAGCUUCAGGUCGGGGACAACCACUGGAAACGGUGGCUAAUACCGGAUAUGCCGAAAGGUGAAAGGCUUGCUGCCUGAAGAUGAGCUCGCGUCUGAUUAGCUAGUUGGUGUGGUAAAAGCGCACCAAGGCGACGAUCAGUAGCUGGUCUGAGAGGAUGAUCAGCCACACUGGGACUGAGACACGGCCCAGACUCCUACGGGAGGCAGCAGUGGGGAAUUUUCCGCAAUGGGCGAAAGCCUGACGGAGCAAUGCCGCGUGAGGGAGGAGGGUCUAUUGAUUGUAAACCGCUUUUGAUAGGGAAGAAGAUCUGACGGUACCUAUCGAAUCAGCAUCGGCUAACUCCGUGCCAGCAGCCGCGGUAAUACGGGGGAUGCAAGCGUUAUCCGGAAUUAUUGGGCGUAAAGCGUCCGUAGGUGGUUUUAAAAGUCUGUUGUCAAAUCACGAGGCUUAACCUCGUACAGGCAGUGGAGACUAUAAGACUAGAGUGCGGUAGGGGUAGAGGGAAUUUCCAGUGUAGCGGUGAAAUGCGUAGAUAUUGGAAAGAACACCGGUGGCGAAGGCGCUCUACUGGGCCUGCACUGACACUGAGGGACGAAAGCUAGGGGAGCGAAAGGGAUUAGAUACCCCUGUAGUCCUAGCCGUAAACGAUGGAAACUAGGUGUUGCCCGUAUCGACCCGAGCCGUGCCGAAGC